UCAAUGGAGUCAACGGUGGUUUAUUAGC
rnacentral:sRNA from 1 species